GGCAUUCAUCAAAGCAUUUGAGACACCUGGCACUUUAAAAGAAAACAUUUUCAAAAAGGAAAAGGGACUGCUUUCAAAUGUGAAAGAAUAUUUGAAACGUUCACUAGCCAGCAUAGCUGAAGUUGAAGUCCACACAUCUUAAAGUUGCCAGGGUUGAAAAAUAUUUCUACUAUCAGGAAUGAUCUCGGUGGAUUUGAUUGGACGCCAGGCUGGACAGGUUGCAGUGACAAAACUUAAUUCUAAAGCAAGAUUGAAGAUUUUUAUUCAUUUAUUUAUAUUUUUGUCAUGUUUAUGUAGUGUAUAUUGGGUGACCCUUUAAGAGCUUUAUGCAAUGAAAUUUCAUUUUAAUGUAUGCCGAUUAGUAUACAUCCAAAGUGACAAUAAAAUUAUUCUAAGUCUAAGAACCUUAUAAUAGGGUUUGUUUGGAAAAUAAAAUCCAUUAGCUGGCAACUCAUA